ACACACUCCAUCUCAUUCUCACACAGACACACACUCCCUCUCAUUCCCACACACAGUCUCACACACACUCCAUCUCAUUCUCACACUCACACACACACUCCCUCUCAUUCCCACACACACAGUCUCAUACUCCAUCUCAUUCUCACACUCAGACACACACUCCCUCUCAUUCCCACACACACACACACACUCCCUCUCAUUCUCACACACAUCCACACACACUCACACUCUUUCUCACACACAUCCACACACACUCUCACUCUCUUUCACACACACACACACACUCCCUCUCUGACCUUCACUCAGGUCCUUCUGCUGUUUCUCCAGCUGGGACUCUAGCGACUUCAUCUUUCUUCCCACAUUGCCUCCUGCGGGAGAGGCUCGCUCAGCGUUCCCGACAGCCCCCCAGCCCCAGCCCCAGCCCCAGCCCCGCCCCAGCGCCCUCACCCUGGGUGCUCAAGCCCUUGACCUGGGCCUCCGUGCUCGCUGUGAAGUUGCUGAACGUCUCUCUCAGGCCCCGCAGCUCCUCCUGCAGCUGGGAGUCUGGCCAGGAGAGCGUGCAGAGAGAAGAAAACGGGAUCGCUGUGUCCGCCACCACUGCACCCACCACUCCCUUGCCACGGUCCCCCGUCAACACCCCCCAAUGUUGCCCCCUUCCCUGCCCACCCCUGGGGCACCCACUUUGGGAUCCGAUCACACAGACAACCACAAGCAGCAGGAGGCUGAGGCCCAGGGAGAGCAGGAGGAGGCGAGGUCCGGAGCAGAGACGCUGCAGGAGGGGCUGGGGAGGAGGUGGCCCUGCAAGAGGAGGGGGUGUCAGGAGCGCGGGGACAGAGGGGACCCUGGCACAGCUCCAGGGUCCUAGAAUGGUAGCAAGCUAAGGCGGCCCUAGUAGUCUAGGAGGAACCAUGUACAUGAAGAAAUGUGGGCGGUGGGCGACCCUGCAGGGCCAGAGGCAACUGGAAAUCGGGGAGAAAAGAGGGCUGGGGAAGGGGGCUAAGCGCUGAGCCGCCCCAUCCCACCGAGGCCCUGAGCUUUUGCUGACACCUAAUGGCAUGACUGCGUCACUGCAGCCAAUCCAGGAACCUCAGCCCACCCCCUCCUCCCGCGCCUUGAAACGCAAUUGAGUGGCCCCGCGCCUCGGAGUCGCUGCUUCCCUUGAAAGUGGGGAAAGAAGGAAGGUUUCUCUGUCCAUGAAUUCCACUCGUCUUUGGCUGCGUGCAGGGAGAGAAGGUGCAAUAGCUACCAUUCAGGCCCUCAAGUCUUCCACCCAGCAGGGGGAAGAGACACGUUAGCCCUGUCCCCUGAGAGCUGGAGGGUUGGGGGGGCCUCCCUGCCGGGUCUCCUCCGCUGCGGACCCUCCCUUCCGUCAAAGCGCGCUGCGCCCCAUCCCCCACGAACUUCAUCCUUGCUCAGCCUAAACAAUUCCCUGCUCGGAGGACAAAGAAAUGGGUCAAGGGGAAUUUGUUUUUGAAGCAAGAGAGUCUCGUUCUCCCUCAGGUCAGAGAUCCCUCAUCCCCCCCCCUCACAGAAUCCUCAGACCCUUCAUAGAAACCUUUCCCCCCUUCACCAAACUGAUCACUGACACACACACGCACACGCACGCACGACCGGGGUCCCUGGGUGGUGUUGGAAGGGGAAAGGAAGAGGGGGCCUGACUUCGUCAUAGGAAGCCGACAGUGACAUCUCUCCAGCUUCCAGCUGUUCCCACACCCCCGGGUCCACCUCCGAGGGCCAGGAGGCACAGGAAAGCUUUGGGCACCUGUCACCAAUAAAGGGACUCCAACCCCACACUCUGCCCCUCUCCUGAGAGAAGCAGCUCCGACACCUUUCCCAGUGUUGGGGGAGGGAGACAGACCCAGAGAGAGAGCCAGGCUCAUGGGCAAGAGUAGGAGCUGUGGCUGGAGGGUGGAGAACCGCCAAAUUCUCGCCUUGCAGAGGCAGGGCAAGGUGGCCCUCACCUUUUCUGAGCUGAUGGUGGUCACUCUCCUCAUUGUCCAGAUGCUGAAGGUCUUGAUACUCCUUGGUCAUGAUAGGGCUGGCGCUGGACCUGGGACUGAGUCAAGACUGAGGCUGGGGCUGAGGUGGGGGCUCACCAGGACUAGAGUGGGAAUGAGGGGCCCAUCUCUUUACUCCCAUCUGAUUGACAGCUCCAUCAUGGAGACCUUUCUUCUUUCUUUCCUUUUCUUUUUUUUUUUUUUUUUUUUGAGAGGGAGUCUCGCUCUGUCCCCAGGCUGGAGUGCAGUGGCAUGAUCUCAGCUUACUGCAACCUCUGCCUCCCGGGUUCAAGCGGUUCUCCUGCCUCAGCCUCUGAAGUAGCUGGGACAACAGGUGCACGCCACCACGCCUGGCUACUUUUUUGUAUUUUAGUAGAGACGGGGUUUCACCGUGUUGCCCAGGCUUGUCUCAAACUCCUGAGCUCAGGCAAUCCACCCACCCCAGCCUCCCAACGUGCUGGGAUUACAGGCGUGGGCCACCGCGCCCCACCGGGAUCUUUCUUCUUUCCUCCAUCCCCUUCCAGGCCUGACAUCCAGAAUCCAUCCUUGAUGUUUCCCACCCAGCACCCCCCAACACAUCCUGGGUUCCCUCCACACCCCUGCACCCCCAGCCAGCCUCCCACCACCUCUCUUCCCAUUUUACUUGCUCAGGGUCUCAGGGUCUGACUCCCAGGUUCUUCAGUGCUGUGCAGAUGCCGAACUAAGGAGGGGGGCUGAAGCUUGGAGAAUGGGGGUGGGUGGACAGCCGUGGACAAUGGGAGGGGAGCGGGCAGGGUCCAUAGGAGGGCCCUGGGCCCCGGUGUCUCUGUGUCUGCGUGUCUAUGUGUCCAAGCACGCCAAACGUGGCAUCUCCAGUGCCCGGGACUUUGGACAGUAAACAGAGGUGGAAAUGGAUUGGAACUUAGGGGAGUGUGGGGGUGGGAGUGGGGGAUGGGUUGCCUCUGCUCUGCUCCCCAGGGAGGAGAAUUGUGUUCCCCCCACACAUGCCAGUCACCUCACUCUUCCGUGCACCAUUUG
rnacentral:lncRNA from 1 species